GCCCGAGUAGCUCAGGGGAUGGAGCAACCGCCUCCUAAGCGGUUGGUCGCAGGUUCGAGUCCUGCCUCGGGCACCA
rnacentral:tRNA from 1 species